GGGUAAUCCUUAAUUAUAGAUCAUACACGAAGAGUGCUUUGUGAUCUAUGCGGGCAAAUGAAUGGGAGUGCUCAAAAUGCUUUGAGAUCUGUCUGAUGAGUGAUCUUAAAUUAUGGAUCUUAUAUAUUAAGAGUUCGUUAAGAUCUGUACCAAGUAUCCAUCCCAUAGACACUUGAUAUGAAGGGUAUUUUGCUCAUAAUAUAAAUUUAUGCUUCUAUAUGAUGGUC
rnacentral:lncRNA from 1 species